rnacentral:rRNA from 1 species
AUUCCAGCUCCAAUAGCGUAUAUUAAAGUUGUUGCAGUUAAAAAGCUCGUAGUUGGAGUUCUGAGUGAGCUCAAUCGGUCGGGAUUAUGUCUCAGAACUGGUUGACUCUCUCUUGUUUGUGGAUCCUGUUCGGAGUUAACUCUUCGGAUGUGGAGUCCACAUCGUUUACCUUGAAAAAAUUAGAGUGUUCAAAGCAGGCGUUUGCUUGAAUAUAUUAGCAUGGAAUAAUGGAAUAGGACGCUGGUUCUAUUUUGUUGGUUUUGAGAACCAGAGUAAUGAUUAAUAGGGACAGUUGGGGGCAUUCAUAUUUCAUUGUCAGAGGUGAAAUUCUUGGAUUUAUGAAAGAUGAACUUCUGCGAAAGCAUUUGCCAAGGAUGUUUUCAUUA